CAGUCGCCGCGGGAAUACGUAGGGUGCAAGCGUUAAUCGGAAUUACUGGGCGUAAAGCGUGCGCAGGCGGUUCUAUAAGACAGAUGUGAAAUCCCCCGGCUCAACCGGGGAAGUGGCACCGAUACGGCCGGGCUGGAGGGGUGUAGGGGGAGCCGGAGCUUCCGGUGGAGCGGUGAAAUGCGUUGAGAUCGGAAGGAACGCCCGUGGCGAAAGCGGGCUCCUGGACACCACCUGACGCUGAGACGCGAAAGCCAGGGGAGCGAACGGGAUUAGAUACCCCGGUAGUCCCUGUCUCUUAUAA
rnacentral:rRNA from 1 species